rnacentral:tRNA from 1 species
GCCCCGGUUUCCGAUGGUGAGGAUAGCAGAUUCCAAACCUGCAAUUGGGUGUUCGAAUCACCCCCGGGGUGCCA